rnacentral:lncRNA from 1 species
AAUAUGCAUCAAACAUGAGCUCAAAAGUGGCCUGGUCCAUCUUGGUGCGAUGCAGCAUGUUUCUAUAAUGCCAACCGGAUACGAACGUAUCCUUGAUACCUCUGCACACAUACACGACUUUGCAAGGUGAAGAAGAGGACUUUGUGGUGGCUUCACGCAAUGUGUUUAAGUGCAUGUGUGUUGAAUAGAUCAUACACUACAAGAAAACAGCGACAUACUGAGGAAAAAAAUCGUAGGUAUGUCGUCGGAAUAGUUGGUAUGUCGUCGGAAUAAGGAUAUUCUGACGACAUACCGACGGAAAAAUUCGUCGGAAAUAACUCCUCGGAAAUUCAUUUUUCCUCGGAAAUCCCUCGGAAAUUUCCGACAGAAUUCCGAGGAACUGAAUUUCCGAGGAAACUCCGAGGACCACUAGAUCGCUGGAAAGUUUAUACCGAGGGAGGACUUCCUCGGUAUAUUCCGAGGAAAUUUCCGAUGGUCCAAUCCUCGGAAGUUCCGACGAAAUCUUCCUCGGAAUUUGCAUCGGGAAUUUCCGAGGAACGUUCCCUCGGAUUUUUUUUUAAAAAUUCCGACGACUUAUUCCGAGGAAAAGGUAGUCGGAAAUUUCCGAGGGUGCUUUUCCUCGGAAUUUCGAAAAAAUUAAUUUUUAAUUUUUUUUUUUAAAUUAAAAUUUGUGAAAUUUAAAUUCGAAAAUAUAAAAUUAAAAUUAAAACUGAAAACAUAUUAGAUAAUUCAAAGUUCUACAAAUAAAAAUAAAACAUUCCGAGUUUUUGGUAAGAAAGUAGGGAUAUGGAGAGUUGUUGUUGUGCAUAAUCUCCCUUAUUUAGAUGGAAGGCGCAAUGGAAAGGUAAAUUAUACACAUCUCUUAUCCUUUGAUGGACGAAAGAUAAGAGAGAGAGAGAUCAUAAAAGCGACUUACAAGCUGAUACCUUGGUCUCUUUGUAGGUGCCGAAGCUUCUUGUCCAUAGGCUGUUUCCAAAUGCUCGCUAUUCUUUAUGGAUUGAUGGAAAACUUGAGCUUGUCGUUGAUCCACAUCAAAUUCUUGAAAGGUAAGCCCUAUCAUAUUUUUAUCUUUUGAGACCAAUCCCAGAAUAUCUCUAGUGAUAUGCUGUAUAUUGUGUUUGUGGCUGGCUAUUCAGCUUCCUGCUGUUACGAAUAACAAAUGCUCCUCUGUUCAUAUAAUUGACUACUUACGGUAGAAAUUUGCUAGUUUAUACAAAUGCUAGCUGUGCUUAAUAGUCCAGUUUCAUUAACUUUUACAUGUUCAGUUGCAGUUGUUUCAAAUAAGUUCACUCUUGUUUAAUAAAUUAAAAAAUUGUUUAAUAAAUUAAAUCGAACCUUAUUGAUUUCCCACUUCUUCUUCCACUCGUGGAUCUGCUUCCCAUAGUUGUCCAUAACUUUAUGGACGAAGUGGUGAUAGAUAAAGAGCGUCUCAUCGGAAUUCCAGUUGAACUCUUGCUGAAAAAAAAACACAAUUAGUAGAAAAUUUAUAUUAAAGAUUAAAAAUAUAAGUAAAAAAUUAGAAUACUUACCGCAAACUGACGAAACCACAGAUGCUGUUUGUCGGUAGGGAAGUGAGUGAAAGUCGGAUAUCCCCGGUCGAGGGCCGAGUACAUCAAACGGUUGAUCCAUGCGCUGAUCUCGUUCCCGGAUCGGUUGAACCUAAUAAAAAGAACAAACGGUUAAUACUGAAUCCAAAUUUAAAGAAAAAAAAAAUAUGUUUAAUUACCAUGUUUGACCCCGUCCAUGUGGAUACGGAGUGAGAUAGGGAAGAUGGUCACGACCGGGCUGUUGAACCAACUCCGCAACACGCAUCACUCCCGGAGGACCCGGAGGAACAGGAGCGGAUGCAGCAGCGGGAGCGAGAGGAGCAGGAGCGGGUGCAGCAGAGGGAGAUGUAUGGUUGGAGCUGUGGGGCGAAGGGGAAUCCUGAAAAUGGCUGGAAUCCCGAGACUGGCUCCCCGUACCACCACGACCACGACGCUGUCGAGGCCGGGUCUGAUCAUCAUGAGACCUGUAAAUUAAAAAAUAUAUAUUUAAUAAAUACAGAAAUAUAUAAAUUAAUUUUUUUUAUUAAAAAAAAAUCCCAAAUAAUUUAAUCACAGAAAAAGAUUUAUAUAUAUUAAAUUUUUUUAAUAAAUAUAUAAAAAUAGUUCUAAUAAACAAAAAUAGUUUUAAUAAAUAAAAAUUGUUUAAUAAUUAAAAUGUUUUGUAAAAUCCAAAAAAUCGAAUUUAUAUAGAAAUUUUUUUUUGUAAAAUCCAAAAAAUCGAAUUUAUAUAGAAAAAUCGUUUUGUAAAAUACAAAAAUCGAUUUUAUAUACAAAAAUCGAUUUUAUAAAUACAAAAAAUAAAAAAAUUAUAAAAAAAUUCUAAAUCAAUUCAACAAAACAAAUUAUUCAACCAAAUCACAAUUCUAAACCUAUUAUACAACCAAAUCACAAUCCUAACCAAUCACCCUAACAAAAAUCUAUCAAAACUACACAAAAACCUAACAAAUAGAACCUAAGAGAGUGGGAUAGGGUCCUUACAUGAUUUGUGUAAGAGAAGAGGGAGAUCGCCGGAGAUAUCGUCGGAUUUCAGGGGGAAAUCGCCGGAGAGAAAGAGAGGAGUCGCGCAGAGGAAGAAGAGAGAAAUGGGGAAGAAGAAGGGGCUCGUGGUUAUAAAACCUAGGGUCCGACGGACAUUAUCCGUCGGAAUUCCGUCGGAAUUCUAAUUUCAAUUUUCGCGAAAUAUUUGCCCGGUAAAAUGAAAAUAUUCCGAGGAAAUACCGAGGAACUAGUGUUUGGGGUUUCAAAACAUCAAUUUUUUUUGCCGUAUUUCAUUUCUUAUACAAUUGUAAUGCAUACCAUUGAGGAUUCUUUGUAUACAUGAGCAUAAACCAUGAAAUAACAAAUUUCAAAACUAAUUGAAAGUAUUCCCUUUACCGUUCGUUAAAAGGUAUAAGUGUUUCUCUUAUGUUGCGAGAUUUCGUUCAUACAAUCGGAAAAGUGUUAAUUAUACGGUAAGGAACAAAUUUUUGACUUCAUAAUGAACGUAAGACACUUAAUAAGGGUUAUAUAGGUGUUAUUCAAACGGCAAAACGUUGUUUUCGGUUUAAAAACCCUAUUUCCUCGGAAUUUCCUCGGAUUAUUCCGAGGGAACUCCGACGAAACCCUCUUCUUCCUCGAAAUUUCCUCGGAAUAUUCCGAGGAAAUUCCGACGAACUAGUGUUUGGGGUUUCAAAACGUAAUUUUUUUUAAAAAAACGCAUCGAUCGAUGCGUUUUUGAACAAAAACAAAUCGAUCGAUUACAAAGAUGGACCGGGCCGUAAGAUUGUGAUCGAUCGAUGAGAGUAUCCCAUCGAUCGAUCGAGAAUCUCAAUUGUUCCUCGGAAUGUCCUCGGAAAAUCUUGUAUGUUUUUUUAAAAACGCAUCGAUCGAUGCGUUUUUGAACAAAAACAAAUCGAUCGAUUACAAAGAUGGACCGGGCCGUAAGAUUGUGAUCGAUCGAUGAGAGUAUCCCAUCGAUCGAUCGAGAAUCUCAAUUGUUCCUCGGAAUGUCCUCGGAAAAUCUUGUAUGUUUUUUUAAAAACGCAUCGAUCGAUGCGUUUUUGAACAAAAACAAAUCGAUCGAUUACAAGGAUGGACCGGGCCGUAAGAUUGUGAUCGAUCGAUGAGAGUAUCCCAUCGAUCGAUCGACAAUCUGAAUUGUUCCUCGGAAUUUCCUCGGAAAAUCUUGUAUGUUUUUUUAAAAACGCAUCGAUCGAUGCGUUAUAGAACAAAAACGCAUCGAUCGAUUACCAAGAUGGCCCGGGCCGUAAGAAUGUGAUCGAUCGAUGCGUUAUAGAAACAAAACGCAUCGAUCGAUGCGUGUUCGGAAAACAGAAUUAUAAGGCAAAACCCGACCUUUUUUGGAUCUAAACCUUAGAACUCUCAUCCCCUCCGAUUUCCCCUAUAAUUCUCCCCCCCCCUUUCUCUCUCUAUAAUCAUCCGAUUUGAACAAUUUUGGGCUCUAUUCCACUUGAUUUUUCGAGCUCUACCUGAUUCCUACACUCGUCUUCACCCUAAGACAGGUAUACUCCGCGAAUCUCCACAUUCUGAAAUCGUGUUCUUGAGCAAUUUUUUGGGUUUUGUGAAUUUCUUAUUUCCGUGUUGAUUCCUUGAUCAAAUAUGCAUGAAACAGAUGUUUAAACAUGGAAUAGAACACAAUUGUCUGUGAUCAACGAGUUUGGAACAGGAUUUGAGAUGAUUUAGGGAUUGAGAAUUUUUUUCAAUUUGGUUUUUUUUUAUCACAACUCGAUUUCGCUUUUCAUUUUCAUGUUGCUUUGAGUUCUUAAUUGAUUAUAACCAUGUUGAGAGCAAUGAUUCUAUUUUGUAGAGAAUGAAGCGCACGAAAAUGUCAGCAAAGAAGAACACACAAGAAGAGGGUUCGUCUCAGCUGGAGAAGCAAAGGCCAAAGAAGUGGGAUAAGUCUGAUACCACCCACUACAACAACAUGAAGAAGGUAGCCGUUCCGGCUACACAACUAGCAUGUCCUGAGACGAUGACAAUAUUGGGAAUCAAAGCAGACAUUGAAGGACUGUUCCAGAACAUGGGUCUAGGCCAACUAUGCAACCUCAACGAACCCACUUAUCCGGAGUUGGUACGCCAGUUCAUAGCAUCCGCAUACGUCACCCGUCCCGAUGAUAGCCAUCAGGAAGGUUUUCUGGCAUUCGUAGUGCAGAAAGUAUACUAUGAGGUAUCUUUCACAGACCUCUGCGGACUAUUUGGAUUGAGUGCAGGGGAGAGGACAUCUGGUCUUUAUUGGACUUCAGAGCUGUUGAACUUCUGGGAAACGAUUGGCACAGGGGUUUAUAGAUCUUCUCAGGCAAAGGAGUCACUUAUCCGGAGCCCAGUACUGAGAUAUGCGACACGCCUCAUUGGCUCAUUGCUAUACGGGACAACCACAGCCGCAUCAGUCACGCAAUGGGAGUUGUGCCUCCUGUACCAAGGUGUGAGGCAUUUGCUACCGGCAUUUGGAAACUCUACAUUCCCACCUGCUACUGCCUUCAACAUGGGAGCGGUGCUGGCCGCAAACUUAGCAGGAUACAAGGGGAAAGUAACCAAAUACAAGAGCAAUGCAUGUGGAUUUGGUGCAGUGAUUACUCGGAUCCUUAGACAUGUGGGUGUAGACUGUGAGAACCACCAGGUAGCACUGGACAGAUCGAACAACAUUGCUUGGAACUACCUGGAUGUCAUUUCUCUAGUAAGUAAGGAGUUCAUAGCUGGUCCCCACUCGAGGAUCGAUCGGGAUGGUCCUUACGUCUACGUAUUCCAGGACCGAGCGAAGAAAACACUCUACUGCCACCUGCCUCAGAUCGGCCUGACUGCUCUACUUUCAGAGGCUGCAGUUGAGUUCCUACCCCCUGCUACCGCACUAGUAGACAAGCCAUCCUUCUUCACGCCAAAAUAUCAGACCAAAGGCAAGGGCGUGGUUGAUGAAGAAGGAGAAGAUGAGGCUGCACAAGCCAUUCCAGAUGAUUCACAACCCCAUCAGCUACUCCCAUCAGACUCCAGCCAGUACAAGCUGCAAGAGCUUCCACCGAACGCCACUUCGCGCCAGCAACAACAUUGGAGAGAUCAGAGCAUAAAGACAAACAACGACAUGCUACACAAGAUCUGGGCUGCCAUUUCACGUAUUAGGCCGUGUCAUUGCCAAAAGGAUGAUGUAGUUCAUCGGGACAACUCUCCAUCCAGCUCUGGUUCGGAUUUGAGUGGUACACACAGGGUAAGAAAGAGGUCCAAGAGACCCAAAGAUGCAGGAACAUCUGGAGCAGGAGACGAGGAGUAGGAGCUAUCACCGGCCAGUAAUGCCAUUUGAUUUUCGACCGCGCUAUUUUAUUUUCUUUUCUAUUCUAACGUUUUAUGGUCUUAUUUUCUGUUAAUUUUGAACUUAGUUUUAUUUUUUAUUUUUUUCUUAAUUAUGAGUUCGUAUUUCUUUUACAUGGUUUCUUCGUUUUAUUUGGUUGUGUUUUGAGUAGUUUUUACAUCAAAAAAUGAGGGAGGAAAUAUCUUCUCAAGGUUGUACUGAAUCACGGCUAUGUUAGUCUUCAAAUUUUCAAUACCUUCAAGAGUCACUGAUCUCGUGCAUAAAUCGCGGAAGAAACCACUUAUCCCUGCAAUUGCUUCAUGAACAUUUCGUGGUAAUAGUUCCUUGAAGGCAAACUGAAGGAGGCGCUGCAUCAUUACAUGGCAAUCGUGGCUUUUCAAGCCAGUAAACUUUCCUUCCUUUCUGUCGAUACAGUUACGCAAAUUUGAUGCGUAACCGUCUGGAAAUUCCACAUCGUUUGAAAUCCAAUCAAAGAACGCAUCUUUUCCCUCUGUAUCAAGUCGGUAUAUGGGAAAAGGAGCCCUACCAUUCUCAUCAACAUGAAGUUCUGAACGAGCACAUAUAUCGACUAAAUCCAGUCUUGACUUUAAAUUAUCUUUUGUUUUACCUUGAACAUUAAGGAUCGUGUUCAUGAGAUUGUAAAAAAAAAUUUUCUCAAUAUGCAUGACAUCUAAAUUAUGCCUUAGCAGAUGAUCCUCCCAGUAUGGCAGAUCCCAGAAAAUAAUAUUUUUUGUGCCAGUUAUGUAGUUCUCCAAAAGCAUCUACCAGAAAACGCUCAUGUCCACCGACGUCUGGCGUCCUUUCUGCACCAAAAUCUCUUAGUUGUAUCUUCAAAUAUUUUCCACAAAUUUCCGGAGGUGGACUGUCAAACACCCUCUUGUUCUUCGUAAACAAAUUCCUACUCCUACGAUAUGGAUGAUCAGGUGGUAGGAAUCUCCUGUGACAGUCAAACCAACACGUUUUCCUUCCGUGUUUUAGUUGGAAAGCAUCAGUGUUAUCUUGACAAUAUGGACAUGAUAGCCUUCCAUGCGUUGUCCAUCCAGACAACAUACCAUAUGCUGGAAAAUCACUUAUUGUCCACAUUAGUACUGCCCGCAUUUGAAAGUUUUCUUUACACGAAACAUCGUAUGUUUCAGCACCUUGAGCCCAUAGUUAUUGCAACUCAUAUAUUAGUGGCUUAAGAAACACAUCAAGUGAACUCUUAGGAUGCUCUGGUCCGGGAACGAGAAUCGAGAGAAACAAAAACUCUCGUCGCAAGCACAACACUACAAAAAAGUAGUUAUAUUGUGACCAAAUUAUUUGUCACAAUAAAACACAAUUCGUCACAAUAAAAAUAUUGUGACAUAUUUGUGACAAUUUCAUAGUGGUUACAAUACCGUCGUCACAAAUUUUGUUGGUAACAAAAACCGUUACAAUGUUAUGACCAUUACAUAUAGUAACUAUUCCGUCACAAAUAGCAACCAUAUAUAAAAGUAAUAAAAAUGUUACAAUUACCAACUACAAUUAACAUAACAAAUUUGUCACAUUUUGUGUGUUUUUGCUUCCGGUUGUCGGUGAACUAACCCCAUGAAUUCGGUUAUACCUCGUUGGUAUUCUUCCGUAAGCAAUCUCGUGUUCGGAUCCAAAUGAGGUCGAUCGAUCCAAGAACGAAAAUAAUUUGAAGAAGACAUGUUUUUUUAUGAAUCAAAUUCGUGUGUAAAGAGAGUAAGAGGGAGGAUGAAGAUAUGGAGUGAAUGAGGAGGAAGAGGGGUGCAUGUAUUUAUAGUUGAAAUCCUGCCGACAGACCGAGGAAAUUCCGACGGAAUUCCGACGGAAACGGCUAGUUCGUCGGAAUUUCCUCGGAAUUUUUAAAAUCCCCCAACGGGUCUCUAACGGUUAUAAUAUAUCCUCGGAAUUUAUCGGUUUUUUCCGAGGAAUACAUUUUUCCUCGGUAUUCCAUAAGAAUAUUCCGACGGAUUUGUAUUUCCUCGGAAUUCCGUCGGUAUAUUCCGAGGAAAUUCCGAGGAAACACAAAUUUUGUGUUUCUUCGGAAUUUCCUCAGAAAUUCCUCGGGAUAUUCCGAGGAUUUCAUUUUCCGUCGGAAUGUCUGUCAGAAUACCGCUGUUUUCUUGUAGUGAUAGGAGAAGGAAACUUUGAGAGAUCCGGUGUUUGGCUACCAGCGGAUAGCUUAAUCUCAAGAAAUGGGACAAGGUCAUGAGGGUUUUCUGAGAGCAAAGGAUGGAUUGGAGGAUUUUCACGGUAUUUUUCUCUAUGCACAAGGGCGAAAACAAGAGAUUUGAGCCAA